CUGUUCCCAUGGGAACGGAACGCAGUGAGUUUACUUUAACGUCUCUGGGAAAUUUGAGUUUUUACUCUGAAUGUUGACCGAUACCUCGAUAGAAACGAGUGCUUUGUGUUUAGGUUUGCAUCUGAGGAAGCAGUGAUCAUGCUGUGAAACACAUUCAGAUGCCACCAAACUGCCAGAUGGACCUUGGGUCUGGACCAUGGGCCUUUUGGAAAAGAGCACACUGGAGUGGAUCCAUCUGUCUCACAAGCAACACAAAACAGGUGCACGGCUACUGUGUAGGAGGGGGAGGAAGCAGAACCCAGGCAGGCACAGGGAGACCAUACAAGAUGGCUUUGGACCCAGGAUCUUCUUGCUGUGAUGUUGGCCUCCUAAUUGCAGUUUUUUCUUUUUCUGUUUUUAAUAAUUGAAUUUUUUUUAAUAACUUAAUAACUCCACAGUAUUUUUUUGUCAUUAUGUUGUGAAUAGUUUUUUUUGAAUCUGAAUGCUCCAUCUGCCUAUCACUUUGCUGCUGGGCCACCUGAAUUUCCCCAAUGAGGGACAAUAAAGGAUAUUUCUAUUCUAUUCUAUUCUAAUCUAAUUAAACAUCCCU